UCUCCAGGUUUGUACUUUGAAAAAUCCAACGUGCUGUACCAAAAAGAUGGAAGAAAGGUAUCAGAUUGCAGCAAAGCAAGAUAUACAGCAAGUGCUUCAAACAUCAAGUGCUACAUUAAAAUUUUUAAUAUCUCAUAAUGCAGCUGCUUUUCAAGCAGAUAACUGGAAUUAUCACCUCUCAUGUCACUGUGUGGCUCUUCUGUUCAUGUCUUCCAAAGUCUGUUGCUAACACGUCUUCAAAUAAAGAAAUGGAUAAGGACACUGAAAGUACACUUCAAAAGUCCAUGAAGACAAAAGCCUUUCAAUAUGCUGCUUUGUAAAAAAUAAUGGAUUAGACUGCAAUACAAAUCCUAUUCUCAGAAUUUGCUACAAGUUCAUAGAUGUACUUGCUGUUGAUUAAUAACUAUAAUAUUUUUAUAUCACAUUCUUGCUGACCUCAGGCUCCAGUGAAGCUAAAGGGCAUCAGUUUUUGUGAAUAGGCCACUGGAAGACAUUAACACAAAGUUUCCUUAAUCUUAAAACCUGAAAACAUCUGCUUGAAUUCUCUAGCACGUUGUGUAGCUUUUCAAUGAAGGCAGCUUUUAAAAAACUGGCUGAUUUUGCUCCCUGCAGUGGCUUUUGCUUCAGCCAGUGGGAAAUUAUUUCAGAAGGAUUUAGAUGGUGCAGGAAUAAUUGGUUUAAUAAGAAAAUGUAAGUCAAAAGUUAAAGAAGUCAAGCACUUUUCCACUACAUUCAUAUAUCUCUUCUUAUAUUAACAGUUGUUUAAAAGGAAAGUAUUAUACCUUAUUUAAUUCUCUUUCCUGAUAACUUAAUGGAAGCAGAACAAAAUAAAAUUUCUCUGUUAUUACUGAAUAAGGGUUUU
rnacentral:lncRNA from 1 species